GAUUAUGAAAUCACCAAUCGAGACAUUUGCCAAAUUCUUACAAAAAAAAAUAAAUUCUAAAAGAGAGCAGUUUUAAUUAUAUUUUAUGAGAACUCGGAGCAUUUAAGGUGAGGAAUGGCGGCUGCUGUCAAGUGAGAUUCGGAGUCGGAGUUCAGUUCAGUUCAGCUCAGUCAAGUGAGAAUUCCUUUGGAUGACAAGGCGAAGAAAAUGAGACAUCUGCUAUCGAGCUUAUACUCUCCAGAUCCUUCUUCGACAAAUGACUCUCCUUCCAACCACGGUAGCUUAGACGCUAUCGAAACUGCUUCUUUCAAUGUCGAUCAGUACAUGAAUCUCCUGAUACGGACGUCGAAUUUGGAAGCGCUUCGUCAGAGGCAUGUUGAAAUGGCAGCCGAAAUUAAGAAGAUUGAUACCGACUUUCAAAUGCUGGUUUACAAGAAUUACAAGUAGUUUAUCAGUACCACGGAUGCAAUUAAACGGUAACUUGUUUCAAUUCAUCCGCCACUGCUAGUAGAAUCGUAGUUUGGGAAAAACUAUAGGGUUUGUCAAUAUUAUAUCUGUUCGUAGAUAUUUUGUUAUUUCCUUUUGAUUCAGCAAGAUUUUUGAUGUGGUAGCAACUGUUGUUUGUUCGAUCAAGUUAUCUGGACUUUUGAAGUUUGUUCACAAGCACUGUGUCUUGUACUGGAAUUUUGAUUUUAACAGGAUGAAAAGUAAUCAAAUAUGGAACAUCUGCUUGACCAGGUGUGUUGGAAUA